rnacentral:ribozyme from 1 species
ACAAAGGGAAAAACACAAAUAACAAAAUGAAGAGAAAAAUAGCAAUAGCUCGAUGAAGAAGAUUUUUCAGGCAGUCUAUUCUGCUUUUCGUUCCUUUGUAAUCCCUUUCUCGGUCGCAAAAAUAGGAGGAAUCUUUUGAUAAGACCA